GCUGCCUCCCGCUGCAGGCAAGAGAGCGCCUGCCUCGCCGGGCGGAGGACAGCCGAGCGACCGGAGCGACAGCAAAGGAAAGGCGGAGAGCGGGAGAAAGAAGCGUCUGCGCUGGCAAGCUCUCCCGGCAGCGCCGAGAGCCAGAGCUGCGGUGCUGCUGCGCCGAUGCUCCGUACGUUCGCAGUAACGGGUAGAGCGGAAGGCUCCGUGGCCAGGGAAGAGCGGCACGGACGCGUUCCUGCUCGCUCCGUUGCACCGGAAUUUCGACGGCUGGGUUCGGCCGCUAAAUUGAUGGCGCUACCGGAAGAAAUUUCAGAAAAGGUGGCUUUUUCGUCGAUCUCUUUGUGAGAGUAUCAAAUCAGGCGGCGGUAAAUACGUAGAAGCAACUAGGCGUACUACGGCGUGUACCGGACAGCGUUGGCGUGCCGCUCUGCUAGCAGCGGAGAGCCAGAUGAGGAUGCCCGUGAUAUGAGAAAAGCUCUGUCCAGAGAUAUGGAGACGAAAUCAGUUGUACCUCACCCUGUGACACCGGAAGACAUUGAGUAACUCGUCCUGCAGCUGGCUCCUCGGUUUUGGCGGCAGCCUGCACAUAGCAGCCCAGCUCUCCAG